UUUUAAAGAGAUUUACAACCGUUUAUGAUUUGAAUGGAAAAGACUUUAAAAUAACAGGGUUUUUUUAACGAUUUACAAGCUGUUUUAAAAGCGUUUUAAAAGUGUUGAAAAAGGUGCAGUAGCUGUUAUUAUGAAAAGAUUUACAACCGUUUUUAAAAUGAUUUACAACCGUUUUUAAAAAAGAAUUUCAACCGUUGAAAAAGUUGCAGUAAUGUUAAAUAUUGUAUCUAUUACUAAUUGGGCCUAGGCCUGUUAUUUAGAAAAACAAACUAUUUUAGUAAAAAAAACACUAAAAGCCCAAAAAACACUAAAGCCCAAAAAUUCACUAUAACCCAAAAACAAAAAAGGAAGGGAACCGUGAAAAGACAAAAAAAGUAACAAAAAAAAAAAAGAGAAACUGUUGUCUUCGUCUUCUUCCUUUCAACAAUCUAAAGAAAAUCCGAUUAUCCAGCAAAAAGGAAGCAAUUAAAGGUAACAAAAUUUACGAAACUGAAGUUUAACAUUUGGGUUUGUUCGAUUUUGUUUAUUUUUGCCGAAUCUCUUUUUUGUUCUAGCAUUUCUAGGGUUUUCGGUUGAAAACGAAACAAGUAAAAUAGAUUGAUAUUUGGGAUUUUGAAGGAGUGUUAGAAUUUUUUUUACA
rnacentral:sRNA from 1 species